rnacentral:rRNA from 1 species
GAUGAACGCUGGCGGCGUGCCUAAUACAUGCAAGUCGAGCGAAUGGAUUAAGAGCUUGCUCUUAUGAAGUUAGCGGCGGACGGGUGAGUAACACGUGGGUAACCUGCCCAUAAGACUGGGAUAACUCCGGGAAACCGGGGCUAAUACCGGAUAACAUUUUGAACCGCAUGGUUCGAAAUUGAAAGGCGGCUUCGGCUGUCACUUAUGGAUGGACCCGCGUCGCAUUAGCUAGUUGGUGAGGUAACGGCUCACCAAGGCAACGAUGCGUAGCCGACCUGAGAGGGUGAGCGGCCACGCUGGGACUGAGACACGGCCCAGACUCCUACGGGAGGCAGCAGUAGGGAAUCUUUCGCAAUGGACGAAAGUCUGACGGAGCAACGCCGCGUGAGUGAUGAAGGCUUUCGGGUCGUAAAACUCUGUUGUUAGGGAAGAACAAGUGCUAGUUGAAUAAGCUGGCACCUUGACGGUACCUAACCAGAAAGCCACGGCUAACUACGUGCCAGCAGCCGCAGUAA